UAACGCGUAUGCAACCUACCUAUCAGAGGGGAAUAACCCGGCGAAAGUCGGACUAAUACCGCAUAAAACAGGGGCACCGACAUGGUGAUAUUUGUUAAAGAAAUUCGCUGAUAGAUGGGCAUGCGUUCCAUUAGGUAGUUGGUGAGGUAACGGCUCACCAAGCCGACGAUGGAUAGGGAACUGAGAGGUUGGUCCCCCACACUGGUACUGAGACACGGACCAGACUCCUACGGGAGGCAGCAGUGAGGAAUAUUGGUCAAUGGGCGGGAGCCUGAACCAGCCAAGUCGCGUGAAAAGGAAGAAGGAUCUAUGGUUCGUAAACUUCUUUGCAGGGGAAUAAAGUGCAGGACGUGUCCUGUUUUGUAUGUACCCUGAGAAUAAGGAUCGGCUAACUCCGUGCCAGCAGCCGC
rnacentral:rRNA from 1 species